rnacentral:rRNA from 1 species
AUGAACGCUGGCGGCGUGCCUAAUACAUGCAAGUCGAGCGAACAGACGAGGAGCUUGCUCCUCUGACGUUAGCGGCGGACGGGGGAGUAACACGUGGAUAACCUACCUAUAAGACUGGGAUAACUUCGGGAAACCGGAGCUAAUACCGGAAAAUAUAUUGAACCGCAUGGUUCAAUAGUGGAAGACGGUUUUGCUGUCACUUAUAGAUGGAUCCGCGCCGCAUUAGCUAGUUGGUAAGGUAACGGCUUACCAAGGCAACGAUGCGUAGCCGACCUGAGAGGGUGAUCGGCCACACUGGAACUGAGACACGGUCCAGACUCCUACGGGAGGCAGCAGUAGGGAAUCUUCCGCAAUGGGCGAAAGCCUGACGGAGCAACGCCGCGUGAGUGAUGAAGGUCUUCGGAUCGUAAAACUCUGUUAUUAGGGAAGAGCAAAUGUGUAAGUAACUAUGCACGUCUUGACGGUACCUAAUCAGAAAGCCACGGCUAACUACGUG